rnacentral:lncRNA from 1 species
UGUUUCUAAGGUGGAAAUCAAAGGAUCAGGUGGAGGAGGAAGAAGAAGGAGAUUCUGAAAUGGUGUCAUAGAAACCAAGGAAGGAAAUAAUUUUUUUUAAAAAAAGUCAUACUCAACAAAACCUCCCCAAAAAGGAGACCAAGAGAUCAAACAAGAUUGAAGUCAUCUGUCUGGAAUUCCAAAAGCCGACAACAGCCAUUUCAGAUCUUCGCGUUUUUUCCCUCAGAUGUGACAGACAGAGAUCAUCAUGUAAAAUCAGGGCAGAAAAAAGUGCAGAAUGGAAAUUUUUAUUCACAUUUUGGAAGAAAGUAUGUCACAAAUAGAGUCAAGUGGCAAAAAAAAGAAAAGAAAUAAAAAAUUUCCCAAUGUCACACUGUCAAUAGGUCUUCCGUAUUGGGGUUGAAAUUUCUCUUUAAUUUGUCUGGAAGAAUAUAAG